CCCUACUCCUUCCAUGCAUUGAGUUUCCUUUCUCUGUGUUAUUUUAUGAUUGUUAUGCAUAUUUCUGUUGUAGCCAGAUGAACUUUUUUGUCCUAAUUCUGAUAGAUAUGUUUUACAUGGUCAAUUCUUUUCCUUUACUGAAUGAUUAACCUAUCUCUGCACAUAUGGCAGUACUCAUAAGUUUUUUAGGAAAUGGUGCUUUUCUCCCUCUGUAUGGUGGUGUUGUUGAUUAAAUAAAGGAAUGAAACAUUGAUAAUAAAUGAGAGAGGCAUUCUAAGAAAGUGUGUCAUUCCAUCCCUUUUCAUUCUUGUGCACAAUGUUGUGUUUCUUUGUCUAUAGCUUGUCUUACCUGGAUCUCUCUUUUUGCAAAUUAAUUCAGCACAACGGUUUUUAGGAAUGGCUAUUCCUAGAUUUCUGAUUUGUGGCUGGCUAAACAAGCUUGACCUAAAUCUCUUUACAUAAGCACCAUCCAGAUGAGGUGGGUUUUUUUUUUUUGGUCAUUUGUGGGACGCUACAAGAAGACCAGGAAAGAGAUUUAGAUUGGAAAUCUCAUUUCAUUCCUGUCUCUCUCUUGGGAACAUUGAAUCUUAUGUAACAAAGUAAAAAAGACUUCUACCCUUUUAUUCAGCGCCUCAUGGUUUUGAGGCCAUGCUUUUUAUAAACUAUCA